rnacentral:lncRNA from 1 species
GAAUUCUAUAAACUUAUGUCUCAUGUUCUUCCCUAUUAAUAGAUCUGGGAAUUUUUGCUGGAAGCCAAGUGAUGACAUGUCGAGGGGAAUACUUCAUCGUGAUUUGAUUAGCAUACAUGCCAGUCCUUCAUUCCAACAGGCAGCUGCAGCUAAUUAUGUGCUUCACUUUAGGCUGGGAAAUAAUAUCCAGAUCAGAACACAUUUGUGUAAGUAUCCAAAGAGAAUUUUUAUAGAGUUUUCCUGUAAUGCGAAUAGAUAAUUUUAUUGUUUUUUUUCCCCCAGGCAUCAACCUUCCUGAC